rnacentral:rRNA from 1 species
GUAGGGAAUCUUGCGCAAUGGGCGAAAGCCUGACGCAGCCAUGCCGCGUGAAUGAUGAAGGUCUUAGGAUUGUAAAAUUCUUUCACCGGGGACGAUAAUGACGGUACCCGGAGAAGAAGCCCCGGCUAACUUCGUGCCAGCAGCCGCGGUAAUACGAAGGGGGCUAGCGUUGCUCGGAAUUACUGGGCGUAAAGGGAGCGUAGGCGGAUAGUUUAGUCAGAGGUGAAAGCCCAGGGCUCAACCUUGGAAUUGCCUUUGAUACUGGCUAUCUUGAGUAUGGAAGAGGUAUGUGGAACUCCGAGUGUAGAGGUGAAAUUCGUAGAUAUUCGGAAGAACACCAGUGGCGAAGGCGACAUACUGGUCCAUUACUGACGCUGAGGCUCGAAAGCGUGGGGAGCAAACAUGAUUAGAAACCCCAGUAGUCC